GGGAUCUGCAGGGGAAGAUGCCACGCGGAACCGGGCAUCAAAGGGAAAACCUCGGGGGAGACGAAGGGCUGGUAAUUUCUUUUCCAGGGAGCUGCCCAAACCUCUGAGGACGCGGGGCCCGGGAACGGGAGUCGGAAGCAGACCGGGGCUGCGCCCCGGGGGCUGACAGGAUGCGCGCGGUUCCCGUGCCCGCAGCGAAUUCCCUUGAGAUGAGGAGUGUGGAGCUUCGAGCAGUCAUACCUCAGGCUGGCUGUCCCUCUGGGUGGGGAGGACAAG